rnacentral:rRNA from 1 species
CAGCCGCCGCGGUAAUACCGGCGGCCCGAGUGGCGGUCACUAUUAUUGGGCUUAAAGCGUCCGUAGCCGGGUUGGGAAGUCCUCCGGGAAAUCUGGCCGCUUAACGGUCAGAAUGCCGGAGGAUACUCCCAGCCUAGGGAGCGGGAGAGGCCGAGGGUAUUCCCGGAGUAGGGGUGAAAUCCUAUAAUCCCGGGAGGACCACCUGUGGCGAAGGCGCUCGGCUGGAACGCGUCCGACGGUGAGGGACGAAGGCCAGGGGAGCAAACCGGAUUAGAUACCCGGGUAGUCCUGGCUGUAAAGGAUGCGGGCUAGGUGUCGGGUGAGCUUCGAGCUCGCCCGGUGCCGUAGGGAAGCCGUUAAGCCCGCCGCCUGGGGAGUACGGCCGCAAGGCUGAAACUUAAAGGAAUUGGCGGG